rnacentral:lncRNA from 1 species
AGGGGUGUCACGCCCCAAGGGGUCUCAUGGGCUAUGGGAAGAGAUAAACCAGCCCCUAGUGGGCUGGAAUAAGUUCCCACUAAGGCCCAUAAGGUUUGAGAAGGAAAAAACACAAGGUGGAAAGAGUUUCCAAGUGGGAAGGUGGAAUUCUACUCCAAGUAGGAUUGGAGUAGGACUCCUCCACCUCCAAUUUCGGCCAAACCUUUAGGUUUUGAGGCUGCCUCCUCCCCUCCCUCCCUCCUAUAUAUACUGAGG